rnacentral:rRNA from 1 species
AUUGAACGCUGGCGGCAGGCUUAACACAUGCAAGUCGAGCGGAGUGAUGGUGCUUGCACUAUCACUUAGCGGCGGACGGGUGAGUAAUGCUUAGGAAUCUGCCUAUUAGUGGGGGACAACAUCCCGAAAGGGAUGCUAAUACCGCAUACGUCCUACGGGCGAAAGCAGGGGAUCUUUAUGACCUCGCUCUAAUAGAUGAGCCUAAGUCGGAUUAGCUAGUUGGUGGGGUAAAGGCCUACCAAGGCGACGAUCUGUAGCGGGUCUGAGAGGAUGAUCCGCCACACUGGGACUGAGACACGGCCCAGACUCCUACGGGAGGCAGCAGUGGGGAAUAUUGGACAAUGGGGGGAACCCUGAUCCAGCCAUGCCGCGUGUGUGAAGAAGGCCUUAUGGUUGUAAAGCACUUUAAGCGAGGAGGAGGCUCUUUUGGUUAAUACCCAAGAUGAGUGGACGUUACUCGCAGAAUAAGCACCGGCUAACUCUGUGCCAGCCGCCGCCGUAA